UUAAAUCGGAGUUACAACGGAAAAGUACGAUCUAAAAACGGAAGUUUCUAUUCUUGACUUGGGUUUUAAAUAGCUUUCUAUUUUGGGAAAGAGGAGAGAGAAAGCAUUUGAGCAGCCAAAAUCGGGAAAACUCGAUCCUCUCUCUCUUUUCUUUUUUUUUUUGCCGCACACUGUUUUCCGGCAAUUUCACCGCGGUCAGUCCACCGCCGGGCGCACCACCGAUCAUUGAACGCUCCUCUCUUCCUCCUCUUCCAUCUUAGCUCAAUUUGGCAGGUGGAGGAGAAAUCGAGGGUGAACAGUAACGCACCCGGGUUUGCAGCUUUUGGGCCAAUUUCCGGUCAUUUGGUCGUGAAUUGAGUAUGUUUUGUGGCAGGUAUUAAAGUUGUUCUACAAAUUGUGGAGAUCGUUGUAGUGUAGGUGGGUUUGCCGGAUUUGGGAGUUGGUGAGGUGGAGCACGAAGCCACGCGCCGCCACUGGUGGUGGCGCCACCAAAAAAUGCUUAAUUUUAGUUUGUUAAUUAUAUCCUGUGUAUGGGAAUCGUUGACUACCUUAAUAUCAUGAAAUUCCGAUGAUUUGACGUUGUUCAAGAGUGUUAAGUUUGGAACUAUUGGAUAUGUAUGAUUGUUAUACAAGAAUAUUAAUAUCGAGAGUUGUUUAAAAUAA